rnacentral:rRNA from 1 species
CCUACGGGAGGCUGCAGUGGGGAAUAUUGCACAAUGGGGGAAACCCUGAUGCAGCGAAGCAGCGUGAGUGAAGAAGCGUUUAGGCGCGUAAAGCUCUGUCAGCGGGGGAGAAACACGGUUCGCGAGAGCCGCGGACGGUACCCGACCAAGAAGACCCGGCUAACUACGUGCCAGCCGCCGCGGUAAUACGUAGGGGGCAAGCGUUAUCCGGAUUCUCUGGGUGUAAAGGGAGCGUAGACGGCGAGAUAAGUCUGGAGUGAAAGGCCGGGGCCCAACCCCGGGACUGCUCUUGAAAAUGCCUGGCUGGAGUACAGGAGAGGUAAGUGGAAUUCGUGGUGUAGCGGUGAAAUGCGUAGAUAUUAGGAGGAACACCAGUUGCGAAGGCGGCUUACUGGACUGUAACUGACGUUGAGGCUCGAAAGUGUGGGGAGCAAACAGGAUUAGAUACCCGGGUAGUC